GAAUCAGUGUAACAUAGAGUUUGGCCACGGAUCUAAAUUGUCAAUAAGCAAUCGCCAUACCUUCCAAUUUGGACACAGUACAAUAAGCAGACGCCACCCGCAAAACUCUCCAUCUCUGCACUUGGACAACGCGGUUACGAUGUAAUUAAUUGCCAAGGGCAUCAGCAUCACCUAAUUGCCGAGGGCAUCAACUUACAAAAAGACGUCUCCUGGUAGAUAUAGGACCCUCAACAUUCACCAUUAGCCAACUCAAGGCCGAGACUCCAACUGCAGCUUUAUCCGUCGCUGCUUGGAUUUUCUGAAGGAAGCUUACCUUCCAGCCGAACAUUAAACCCAAGUAUUUAACUGCUGGUUUUAACAAUAUGAUCAACCCGCGGAACGAUGUGGAACUCCCGACCCUAGGCGCAACUUUCCAGGCAUGACGAGUUUUAGCAGACUAUCACAGGAAGUGAUCCAAAGAUCCGGACCUGACAUGGAUGGAUUCCUGUGCUACCCUCGACGUCAUCCCCAUCGUCCUCUGGCUCUCUACCGUCUCAUAAACAGGAAGCCGUCUCCCAGAUAAUCCCUCAACAUCCGCAAGAGACACUUCGUUAUGUCAAAUGAGUUUCCUAAUGCGCCUAAUAUAUCUGU
rnacentral:misc_RNA from 1 species